CGUCUACGAUUCUGGGUCGUGAAAGGGCGAUCGUGAUUAACUUGGAACAUAUUAAGGCAAUCAUCACAGCGCAAGAGGUUUUGCUUUUGAAUUCUAAGGAUCCUUCGGUUACCCCCUUCGUUGAUGAGAUUCAGAGCCGACUUUUGUGACAUUUUCAAGCAACCAAAGACCAGGAAGGUGCGGUUGAUGAUUCCAACUACAUAAUUCUAUCGAGUUCUCAAAAUUUGUCAUCAAGGUUUUCACAGCCUCAGAAUCUGGAUGAUGAAGGUAAAUCAGAAGAGAAACAGAGUCUUGAGAACCCAAAUGGCUUCAAGAUUCUUCCAUUUGUGUUUGUUGCAUUGGAGGCAUGCCUUGAAGCUGCUUAGAAAAUGAAGCAAAGACAUUGGAGCUAGAGGCUCAUCCUGCCUUAGAUAAAUUGACAUCAAAGAUCAGUACUCUCAAUUUGGAGCGGGUUCACCAAAUUAAAAGUCGAUUAGUUGCAAUAACUGGGAGCAUCCAGAAGGUAAGGGAUGAAUUGGAGCACUUGCUAGAUGAUGAUGAAGAUAUGGCUGAGAUGUAUUUAACUGGGAAAGAACUACUUGAAAAUUCAUCAACCUCGUCUAUGAAUGAUAGAGAAGACAUGGGUGGUGAAGUUCUUCGACCAUACAUCAAUGAUAGGUGCUAAACAAUUUCACCGUUUGAUUUCAUCAAAGAUUCACCUUUUCAGCUUCAAAUGAUACUCUCAACAUCAACAGAACCACAACUGACUCAAGGUUUGGAUUGAGAUUGUUACAACGAAAUAUUCUACAAG